GAUCAUGGCUCAGGAUGAACGCUGGCGGCGUGCUUAACACAUGCAAGUCGAACGGGAAACAUUUUAUUGAAGCUUCGGCAGAUUUAGAUUGUUUCUAGUGGCGGACGGGUGAGUAACGCAUGGGUAACCUGCCUUAUACCGGGGGAUAACAGCCAGAAAUGACUGCUAAUACCGCAUAAGCGCACAGAACCGCAUGGUUCCGUGUGAAAAACUCCGGUGGUAUAAGAUGGACCCGCGUUGGAUUAG
rnacentral:rRNA from 1 species